rnacentral:rRNA from 1 species
UGGGGAAUAUUGCACAAUGGGCGCAAGCCUGAUGCAGCGACGCCGCGUGGGGGAUGACGGCCUUCGGGUUGUAAACCUCUUUCAGCAGGGACGAAGCGAAAGUGACGGUACCUGCAGAAGAAGCACCGGCCAACUACGUGCCAGCAGCCGCGGUAAUACGUAGGGUGCGAGCGUUGUCCGGAAUUACUGGGCGUAAAGAGCUCGUAGGUGGUUUGUCGCGUUGUUCGUGAAAACCGGGGGCUUAACCCUCGGCGUGCGGGCGAUACGGGCAGACUAGAGUACUGCAGGGGAGACUGGAAUUCCUGGUGUAGCGGUGGAAUGCGCAGAUAUCAGGAGGAACACCGGUGGCGAAGGCGGGUCUCUGGGCAGUAACUGACGCUGAGGAGCGAAAGCGUGGGGAGCGAACAGGAUUAGAUACCCUGGUAGUCCACGCCGUAAACGGUGGGUACUAGGUGUGGGUUUCCUUCCUUGGGAUCCGUGCCGUAGCUAACGCAUUAAGUACCCCGCCUGGGGAGUACGGCCGCAAGGCUAAAACUCAAAGGAAUUGACGGGGUCAUAGCUGUUUCCU